AGUCCUCCUUAAUGAUGAAUGCCAACCGCUGUAAAACUAGAAGAAGACGCCAGUGAAGCCGGAAAUGUCAACCGACUGACUGCUAACCCAAAUGUUUGCAUGAACUAAUAUCUCCACGUCGUGACCCACGAUGGAGUGCUAAUACUAAGGACGUAGACUUAAUCCAGCAUCGUGACAGAGUAAACAGCGAAUAUGACAAAUGGUAGGUUUGCUGUCUUUUAGUUCAACGGCAGGACGUUGGAAGUUACUAUGAAGCUAGCUUAGCUGUAGACGUGGCUCCGGGCAGCGCUGUUAGAAACACUUUAACAAAUGAGUCCCUAACUUCUUUGACAUUAAUACAGAUUUGGUGCUAAAUUUUCUGUCUUUCUUUAAAGAAAUUGUCAUCAAAACUUUUGGGCUCUUUAGGAUUAUGUCGGGCUAAGAAAUUUCAUGCUAACUAGCUUUGAUGAACCUCAGUUAUUACUUGCUAAUGCUCGAAGUAUUAAACAGCUUAAUAUCAGAUAUAAGGGGAAAAACUCGUGAUUAUGUGAGGUUUAUUUCUAAGAAUUUAAUUCUAUGAGCAUUUCUCUAUCGCUGUGAAUUAUUGUUUCUUCAGGCAACAUAGGGCAAACCGUCUUCACAGAGUAAAUACUACAGACUGAUCCCGUAUCCUCUCUAUGGAAAAAGUGAAAUUCUCUACAGGCAAAAGCGUAUUUGUUGCAGUCACACCCUCGUUGAUUUGUGCAGACACUGUUAUAUACAUUUAAAACUGUUAUUCACGUCUGUGUCACUGAGCUUGCUUUCUGAGUACAGAUCAGGAGCAUGUCAGUGGUUUGCAGGAUGUGCAGAUUAUUGGCUGCACCUUAACAAAUAUACUUAUGUGUGUGGCACUGAGAGAAAUAACCCAUGCUGUUUUCUUUUGAUAUUUGCUCCAUUAACUAAUGUAAGUGGGGGUGCACUUGUUUACAUAGUUUGCCCCUUUGUCGUUUCUUCUUACCUAAACUCUUCAAAGUCGCGGAUUAAAAUUGACUUGCAAGAACCUGGUAACUCCACACUCAGUGACCUUUUUGAAGUAUUGAUCUGAUUGGCAAUCUGGGCAGACUUAAUUUUUCUUUCACUUGACAUGUUGUCAUUUCUUUUUUUUUUUUUUACAGUGUACUCUUUCGAUGGCAUCCUGGUGUUUGGGCUGCUGUUCAUCUGCACUUGUGCAUACCUCAAAAAAGUCCCUCGCCUCAACAGCUGGCUGCUGUCAGAGAAGAAAGGAGUGUGGGGCGUCUUCUACAAAGGUAGAGCUACACAUAGAUAGAUAGAUAGAUAGAUAGAUAGAUAGAUAGACAGACAGCUGGGAAAUUCACAUGUUACAGCAGCAAAAAAUGACAAAAUAAAAUUUAAUAUAAGAAGAAGUAAGUACUGAUAUACUAAACAUCCUAAGAGAAAAGAGAAAAAAGUGAGAUAUGAAGAACGUGGGCUAUUGAAAUGAGUAAUAAAUUUGAAAAGAGUAAUAAAUAUGAAAUGCAAAAUAUACAGAUGGGAUGAUAAAUCAACAGACAAAUUAAGGUGCUCAGUAAUGUGAUGUGGUAGGAGUUUUAAAAAUGGACUAUACAGCAGACAGAUGUGAGUCCCUGUCUGACAGAUGUGAGUUAUUAAACAGUGCUAAACUACAUCGUAGAAAACAUACUUAUGCACCUGCUGAGGAAAACUAAGCUUUACAAUCAUCGUCAGUGAUAUCAGCUUGAGGCAAAUGGAGAUUUUACAUCAUAAACAACCACACUGUACAACCUUGUUUUAUCUUUUGUCAUAUCUUUGAACCAAGUCAUUGUCAUGAUGACAGUAUAAUAUUGCAGCACAAGUAUUUUUAAAACAAAUUUUCAACAGUCCAAUUUUUAAAUGUAGUUUUGUGAAGAAAAAAAACAUGCACAACUAAAUAAAGUUAAUAUAAAGAGAGUAUUAUGUAAUUAACACAAUAAUAAAUGUCAUCCGUUGCUCUCAAAGAUCAGUGGGUCCUAUAAAUAACUAUCUUUUUGACAUGUCGUAUUAGUUCUGCAGUGGAUCACAAGUUUCAUGCUUUGGAUCAGAACAGUAUUUUUACCCACAACUAGGUACAAAACAGUGCAGAACUCAUUCUGUGAUUAACAAACUUGCUUAUUACAGUUAAGGUUGUCCUAUGUGGAGGUGAUACACACAAAAACUUACAACUGAGAGUCAGACACUAAAUCUCAGUCAUUGUGUCCUUUGUAAUGUCAAUAAAUGCAGGAUAGUCCGCACUGUCUCAUGGUCAAGUCUCAUGUUUACAUUGUUUGCUUUGCUCUUCGUGAUCUUCAUGUGUUUUUAUGACCUGUAAUUUUCUUAAUUCAUCAUCAAACUUAUCGUUCCUUUUUUCCAGCUGCGAUAAUUGGGACACGACUUCACUUUGCUGUGGCGAUGUCCUGUUUGGCCAUGGCUUUCUAUAUCGUCUUUUUAAAAUGAUUGAGUGAGACUGGACUGGAGAAGGGUGGAUGGCUGCUGGCUGGGGAUGGACUCAUCUCUGGUCAUGUCUCAGUCCUUGUUGUGGGACACCUUCUGGAUUUCAUGGCUGAUGAAACCUCCAAGUCCUCAUAUGGUGGACCCAUGUGAAAGACAUGUCAGUGCUGCCCCCCUCUGGUGACUGGGUACAUAACUCCUCUCUUAGUGAUGUGUGUGCACUACAGACAUGAAGGGCAUCCUGAGUAUACCCCACAGGGAGUCUGCAGGAUCACAUGAUAUCAUUGUGUUGUACUGUAACAUUGUUUGUUGUCUCCAUCCACAAACCAUGGAUAUUUAUAGUGAAGGAUGCAGAUGAAAGAGCAGUGUGUGCACAACAAAUCCAACCUGUAUACAACCUGACACUAGCCUAGCUGUAUAUAAAUGAAAGAUGACCAAUAGAGAUUUCACAGUGGAUCAAACUGAAACUGAGAAUUUCCGCUUGCUCCCAACUGUGCUGUUUUUUUCCUUGUAUCACUUAUUCUGUCAAAGGUGGAGGGGAAGAUAAACAAAGCUAAUAUAUGAAGAUAUUCUUGUGUACUUCUUUUUUCCCCUUUGCAUGUACUUUUAACAGCUUUUUUUGCAUUGUUUUAGGUUUGAUGUAGACAUUUUGCACAGGUUUAUGCCAUAUUUUCUUUGAUAUCUAAUUCAUGGUAUCAUAUUUUAUACAUCAAAAGUUGUUACAGAUUGGACUGAAAAUUAUUUAGGAGUGAAAGUCUCAACUGUUGAGAACAAUUUAUAACAUGGAUAGCUGUAUCCAACUUGACAGAACGAUUUAAAUGCCAUGCAAAAUGCUUCCUGUGUCAUCUCAAUUACAUUCUGUAUUUUUUUGUUUCAAUUCUGCCACCUUUUUAUUUUAAAAGAAGACAGUGAUUUGGGGCAGGGAUGCAAUGCAAUUUAAAGUAAAAGAUUAAACUGAAGAUUUCUGUGUUUUUGUCUGUAACACAAAGCCAUUUACAAAGUGAUAUUUGUAGCCCAAUAUUGCACAUACACGAUAUCAGAGUUUUUGUACUUACAGUGGCAUACGAUCCUAAUUCAGUGGGUGGUCUUUUUUGGCAGUAUUUAACAUAAUGUUAAAGAAGCCAUUCAAAAUGAGGCACAUGUGUAAGUUAAAUUUGCCUUUCUGUCUUCAAUUUAAUAUCUUGUAAUGGGUUUUGAAUGUUGCUGAUAAACCACAGAGAAGUCCAACUGUAUAGGACUACCCACCGUGCAUCACAGUUGGCUCAACGAAUUUCUUUGUGCAAUAUUUGACUUUCAUUAAACAAAGCUUCCAGACUAGAGACCAAGAACUUUUCCAUAGUUCCACAAAGUCAUAUAAAAGUACCUCUGAUACUUUUUACACUCUGUACAAACAGUCAAGUAUCAUCCAAGUUCAACCAUGUUAAACUUGGCAACGACUUGCAUUCAGUAACACCUAGGUCACCUUAUAAACCCAAUGAACCCUGUACCUUCUUAGCACCUGUUAUAAGCCUCUUGGUGCUCUGUUCUUCUAAUAGCCUUGUCACAAGCACUUUUUCUUUAUAAAGACAUCCUGAUCUGCACUGGCGUGUUGUAAUCUGCCAUAUAUUUAGUUUUAAAACCUACCAUACUGUACUUUAUUUCCUUAGUUUAUGGUACUGUAUUGUGGGUAUCGCUACACUGGUACAGUUUACAGGAGACAACUGGCUUGCUGCUGAAGGAAAAGCACAGAUGUUAUAGACAAGACUAUGUCUGUGUGUGCACAAUAUCAAUAUAUCAAACAUAGAAGAACAUGAAUCCAGUAUUUACUAUUGUCACUUGUGUCUACACUGUACAUACCUGUAUACACAGUACUGCCAGUAUGUGUCCUUUUUCAUGUUUUUCCCCCCUAUAGCUUCGUAAAAUCUCCCAAUUGGAUAUAGUGGCAUUUCUUCACAAUGGAAAUUUUCUGUUUGCUAAUUGGGCAGCUCGCGGUAAGAUUGCUAAAAAUGAAAAAAAAAAAAAAAAAAAAAGCUAAUUAAAUAGAUUGAGAAAAGACGAGAAAAAAGAUUGACCACUAAUCCCUGUGUAGUCGGUUGUUGUAUAAAGCAUUUAUUUUAAAUGAUGUAAACAUCUACUUUACUGUUCAAUAUCAUAAGUCAGUAGGUCAGUUGCUUGGAAAUGGUAAAAGAAAUUGAUCAUGUGACCAAAUAUUUAGGAGAUGGGCAUCAAUUCAUGGAGUCUGUGAAGGUUAGAAGCACAUGGGUGAAGGGGUUAGACAUUUAUUUCCAAAAAAAACAUUUUUAACUCUUAAAAGUGAAUUUAGUCUGUCAUACAUUUUAUUAGAAUUGUGUUCAGACCAAAAAAGAUCAUUUUAAAUUUGUUUUAUACAUCAAUUGUGGUAUCUAUGAACUACAACAUGAGGUCAAAAACCUAUCAUAAAAGUCCAUUUUACCUUAGAGGAUUAAUAAAGUCAUCAUAGUAGUUCUGGGGUAAGUUGAGCCAGUGGCUCAACUGAGAAAGUAAAGGAGUCUGAUGAGAGGAUCAGAGUUUCAGUUCAGAUUGUUGAAGUGUGUUACUUUUUCUAUUAAAAAAUACAGCUGUGAAUGUUCUGAAUCACUUGAAAUCCUCAUGAUUAAAUGGCUUUUUACAAAACA
rnacentral:lncRNA from 1 species